CGACCUUCUUCGCCUUAAAGCUCCUAGGCAUUCACCAUAGACUCUUAUUACUUUGACCAUAUUUUUAUCUUCCAUCUCUAUUUUGCCAAUUUGUUUAUACAACAUAGAAUAAUAUAUAUCUUUGUUUAAUCCAUGUCAAUAUAUAUUUUAUUUUUUAUAUUAUUCGAAUAAAACAUUCAAAAACAUGAACAUCUAAAAACAUAAAAAAUAAAAUCAAUGCUUAAAGUAUAAA
rnacentral:misc_RNA from 1 species